AAUCAAGAUGAUAUCUUUUUCCAAAAGAUGUGGUCCAAGCCAAACAGGGAUUGAUUCCAGGGGACUCAGGAAGCUGGUGCACUCACAGCACCCACAUCAUCUCUUGCAGCCUUCUCACUUCCAAGCAGGCAUAUCAUGCGUGAAAUGAAGACCCACUAAAUUAUCAUUAGAGGUCAGCUCCACUGAGCUGGGUUACAGUUCAUGACUUGCCCAAGGUUACACAGGAAAUGUGUGGCAGAACUCAGAAUGGAAACCAGAUUUCGCGCUCUCCUGCCUUAACAACAAGGUUAUCCUUUCUCUUUGUGACGCUUUUGGGCAGUUCAUAUGGAUCUACACAUAU
rnacentral:lncRNA from 1 species